rnacentral:rRNA from 1 species
GGCCGCGGGAAUUCGAUUUCUGGUUGAUCCUGCCAGACCCGACUGCUAUCAGAGUGGGACUAAGCCAUGCGAGUCGACGUAGCAAUACGUGGCGAACGGCUCAGUAACACGUAGUCAACAUGCCCAGGGGACGUGGUUAAUCUCGGGAAACUGAGAAUAAACCACGAUAGGUCACGAUUUCUGGAAUGGAUCUUGGCUUAAAUCUACAUGGCCCCUGGAUUGGACUGCGGCCGAUCAGGCUGUUGGUGAGGUAAUGGCCCACCAAACCUAUAACCGGUACGGGCUCUGAGAGGAGGAGCCCGGAGAUGGGCACUGAGACAAGGGCCCAGGCCCUAUGGGGCGCAGCAGGCGCGAAACCUCUGCAAUAGGCGAAAGCCUGACAGGGUUACUCUGAGUGAUUUCCGCUAAGGGGAUCUUUUGGCACCUCUAAAAAUGGUGCAGAAUAAGGGGUGGGCAAGUCUGGUGUCAGCCGCCGCGGUAAUACCAGCACCCCGAGUGGUCGGGACGAUUAUUGGGCCUAAAGCAUCCGUAGCCGGUUCUGCAAGUCUUCCGUUAAAUCCAGCCGCUCAACGGAUGGGCCGCGGAGGAUACUAUAGGACUAGGAGGCGGGAGAGGCAAGCGGUACUCAGUGGGUAGGGGUAAAAUCCUUUGAUCCAUUGAAGACCACCAGUGGCGAAGGCGGCUUGCCAGAACGCGCUCGACGGUGAGGGAUGAGAGCUGGGGGAGCAAACCGGAUUAGAUACCCGGGUAGUCCCAGCUGUAAACGAUGCAGACUCGGUGAUGGGCUAGCCUUGUGCCAGCCCAGUGCCGCAGGGAAGCCGUUAAGUCUGCCGCCUGGGGAGUACGGUCGCAAGACUGAAACUUAAAGGAAUUGGCGGGGGAGCACCACAAGGGGUGAAGCCUGCGGUUCAAUUGGAUUCAACGCCGGAAAUCACUAGUGAAUUC